UGUGGGAGCGAGCCUGCUCGCGAAGGCGUUGGGUCAGAUAAGUAUGGGUCGACUGACACAUUGCAUUCGCGAGCAGGCUCGCUCCCACA
rnacentral:misc_RNA from 1 species